CUACUGAAACCAUGUGACCUGUGGGCUUCCCUUUGUCAUCCUAUGCCUGGAGAUCACAGUGAGGCAGGGACAGCAAAGGGAUGCUCAGCUGUCGUCUCUUCC
rnacentral:pre_miRNA from 12 species